AUGUCGGCAGAUGGAGACAGUACCGUCUAUUUGUGUGUCGCUGAUUCAUGUAAACACAAAAAGUAUCGGCGUUUCCUUCAGCCCAUGUCCGAAAAAUAUGGCGCGGAAAGAGAGCCAUGUGCGCGCCAUCCCAAACACCCGAUUCGCACCAAACCAGAAAAAACAAAAAGAAAAAACACCAGACCCUCGACCCUGACCUGUUCGAUCCCCAAUCUCAAUCUCACCUCUCUCUCUCUAUCUCGCCACCCACACACCCUGACCCUAACCCUAACCCGACCGCGCCGCCGCUCCCAACCUGGGCGCCUCCGCCCCAAACCACCCGCCGGUCCCCUCGCGCCACCACAUCUCGGACCCCGGUCUCCCUUCCCUUAG
rnacentral:rRNA from 1 species